rnacentral:rRNA from 1 species
AUUAAUAAGAUCUUUCAAAAAAAAUUAUGCUGUUAUCCCUAAGGUAAUUAAUUUUUAAUUUUAAAUUUUAAGAUAAAUAAAUCAAUUAUUUUUGUUUAAAUUAUAAAAAAUUUAUUAAAUUUUUAAAUUACCCCAAUUAAAUUUAUAUUAAUUAAAUUAAAUAUUUUAAAUAUAAAUUAAUUAAAUAAAUAAAAUUCUAUAGGGUCUUGUCGUCUUUUAAAAUUAUUUAAGUUUUUUUACUUAAAUAAAAAAUUAAAUUUUUUAUUAAUUGAAAUAGUUUAUAUUUUAUGUAAUCAUUCAUACAAGUUUUUAAUUAAAAAACAAAUUAUUAUGCUACCUUUGUACAGUUAUAAUUCUGCAGCCAUU